rnacentral:rRNA from 1 species
CUUCGGGAACUCUGAGACAGGUGCUGCAUGGCUGUCGUCAGCUCGUGUUGUGAAAUGUUGGGUUAAGUCCCGCAACGAGCGCAACCCUUAUCCUUGUUUGCCAGCGAGUAAUGUCGGGAACUCCAGGGAGACUGCCGGUGAUAAACCGGAGGAAGGUGGGGACGACGUCAAGUCAUCAUGGCCCUUACGAGUAGGGCUACACACGUGCU